CGGGGUCAAAUUGACUCUAGUAGGGAGUCCGUUAAUUUAUAGCGACUCCCUAACGGAGUCAGGUUGACUCCCUU
rfam:Dendroctonus ponderosae Seq01022919, whole genome shotgun sequence.